GGCAGUUUGAUAUAGGGUCUCUCUUUCUUUCUCGAUCGAGCGUCUCUCUUUCACGAUUGAAUUUUUGUGUGUUGAUUUUCUCAACAAAUCCCUCUCCUUUUUUUCUUUCUCGAUCGAGGGUUUUCGUCACCGUCCUCUCUGGGAAUAUAUAAGCUGUAAUUAGCUGGAGUGCAAUGGUGUUCUCACAUUGAGCUUUGUCUAGGCCAAUUUUAGUGGAAUCUAAAUUUGAUAAAAAGCAACUCUUUUGGAACUAUAUGAAAUUAUGUAAGGUGGGUCAUUCUCGUUAUGGUUCCAUGGUGGUUGCUUGUUGAUGGAGAUGUAACGAAACCUUGAAGUUAUUCCAAGAAAAAGAAGUGUUAUAUUGUAUAGUUCAGGACAUCCGACCGAGCUCUGCGUUUUAUCAAACUCUGCGUGAUUCUUCAUGGAAGAUAAUCGAUGCAGGAGAAACUAUGGAGGAAGUAGAGAAGAAGAUUCAACAAGUGGUGUUGGAUAAAGUUAAAGAGUGUGCUCAAGUAAAGUCUCUUUCUCUCCUCUGAUCAUCUUUUAAUGAUUUUUAACCAAUCCACUCUUGUAGAAUGUUUGUGUUAUGGUUUAUUAUACCAAGUUUGUGAUU